rnacentral:rRNA from 1 species
UACGAAGGGGGCUAGCGUUGUUCGGAAUCACUGGGCGUAAAGCGCACGUAGGCGGACUUGUAAGUCAGGGGUGAAAUCCCAGGGCUCAACCCUGGAACUGCCUUUGAUACUGCAGAUCUCGAGUCCGGGAGAGGUGAGUGGAACUCCGAGUGUAGAGGUGAAAUUCGUAGAUAUUAGGAAGAACACCAGUGGCGAAGGCGGCUCACUGGUCCGGUACUGACGCUGAGGUGCGAAAGCGUGGGGAGCAAACAGG